rnacentral:siRNA from 1 species
AAGCCUAACUAGGGUUCCCAUGUC